UACGGGGGGGAGCAAGCGUUGUUCGGAUUUACUGGGCGUAAAGGGCGCGUAGGCGGCCACCGCAAGUCGACUGUGAAAUCUCCGGGCUUAACUCGGAAAGGUCAGCCGAUACUGCGGGGCUAGAGUGCAGAAGGGGCAACUGGAAUUCUCGGUGUAGCGGUGAAAUGCGUAGAUAUCGAGAGGAACACCUGCGGCGAAGGCGGGUUGCUGGGCUGACACUGACGCUGAAGCGCGAAAGCUAGGGGAGCGAACGGG
rnacentral:rRNA from 1 species